AUUGAACGCUGGCGGCAGGCCUAACACAUGCAAGUCGAGCGAGCGGCGGACGGGUGAGUAAUGUCUGGGAAACUGCCUGAUGGAGGGGGAUAACUACUGGAAACGGUAGCUAAUACCGCAUACCAUCAGAUGUGCCCAGAUGGGAUUAGCUAGUAGGUGGGGUAACGGCUCACCUAGGCGACGAUCCCUAGCUGGGCUGAGAGGGUGACCAGCCGCACGGGAACUGAGCCACGGUCCAGACUCGUACGGGAGGCAGCAGUGGGGAAUAUUGCACAAUGGGCGCAAGCCUGAUGCAGCCAGGCCGCGUGUGUGAAGAAGGCCUUCGGGUUGUAAAGCACUGUCAGCGGGGAGGCGUUACCCGCAGAAGAAGCACCGGCUAACUACGUGCCAGCAGCCGCGGUAAUAC
rnacentral:rRNA from 1 species